UGAGGACGAAAGGCUCCUUCAAAAGGCGGGCGAGGGGCCGGGGGCGGUGGCUCACACCUGUCAUCCCAGCACUUGCGGAGGCCGAGGUGACUGGAACUGAUUUGACAUAACCAUCGUAUGCAUGGAGAAGCUGAGAACAGUAAUCUGCAGAAGCAAAAGUAUGAAACAGCCGGGCAAAGAUGCACAGAGGGGUCAAAGCAUCGUAGAACCACAGAUGUGAAAGAACUGCGGAGAGGACGUUCUCCAGGAGGGACAUCAUUAACUCAACCCGG
rnacentral:lncRNA from 1 species